rnacentral:lncRNA from 1 species
GCGGGGGUCCGAGUUCCACAGCUUCCAGCUCUGGGGAAGGGGAGGAGAGGGGCCUUCACCUCUACGGCUGACCCCCUUCCCUGAGGGUCCUGGGUACGGGAGGAGAGAGGGCGCGGGAGGGGAGGAGGCCGGGCUGGGCCCUGGGAAGUCGCUGGCUGAGGCCGCCGGCAGUUUCUCCCGUCGAAGGGCAGCGUGAACCUCGGCUUCUUACUGCGCAGCCGGAGGCACCCGGGGCCAGGAGCGGAAGUCCGAGGGGACCCCACGGCGGAGGAGCGGCAGAGCCCGGGCCCCGCGGGAGAGAGAGGCGGGAGCCUCUCACAGUUGAUCGGCGGAUUCCACUUACUGUGACUAUCCAGUCUCCUCUAGGCCUUUGGACAUCUGAAAGGAUGGAGUUUAUCUAGUCUUACCUGUCAGAGUCAAGAGCCUUCUUUCUCCUAAGCUGACCUUAGUAUCUCC